GUCGUUCCGUUUUUCGUUCCUUGCUUCCGCAGAUUGGCGACUGGUCUAUAGUCGGAGGCUGAUUAACCCGUAAGGAGCAGCAAUG
rfam:Gallibacterium anatis TMN179, complete genome.